rnacentral:lncRNA from 1 species
AGAUACCCAGCUAAGUGAGAGCUUGUCACAGAAGGCAAUGUCAUUCUAUCCUCUAACAGGGACUCUUAGAAGACUAAAAGUUUUUGCAAACCACACAGAGGCCUCUUCAAUGGUGAAAUUUUCAAUCCCACGAUGCCAAUAUUGGCAACCUGUGUGCCAUCCUCUGAGUCACUUUUGCUGAUAUCAAAAACAGCAGUAAAAGUCCUAGGUGCCAAGAAUGCAGCUAUGCUCCACAAAGACAUUUUGUCCUCCUUUCAGUAUUCCUGCCAGAGCUGGUGAUAACAUAGCCAGCAAUGUCAAUGGUAUUAAAAUCUGCAGUGACAUCCUUUGGAUGUGCUUAAAGAGUUCUAAAAGUCUUGAGAAGGUGAAUAACUCUAAUAAGUUUACCUCUUUAGUUUUUUGAGUCUGUACAUCUUUGCUGCCUGAAAAUCAAUCAGUAGACGCAAUACUUCCUGAGUUAUGAUACAAGUGGUGAAUUCAUAACUGGUGAAUGAAUUUUGGCAUAUGGGAUGCUUAUAAAGAAGUCUGGAAAUGAAAUGAAAAAUGAUUUGACAAUCUUGUGUAAUUGAUUGAUAAUAGCAAGAUAUUUGGGGUUUUCUAGAUUUAUUUUCUAGUGAUGGAAUUAAUGCAUAUUUAUUAGAACAUAGAAAUUACAAAGAAAAGAUAUAUCAAAGAAAACUUUUUGCUCUUUUAAACCCUUUGUUUGGAAGCAUAGAACAACCAUCCAAAUGCCUUCCAUACCUGUAUACUCAACCUAGUUAAUAUUAUAGAACAAAUAAAAAAGAAAACAAUAUGUGUAAAUGAUGGAAUAAUCUUCUAAAUAAAAGGAGAGUUUGGUUCCUUUUUUCUUUAAUGG